rnacentral:sRNA from 1 species
AAGCUCAAGCCCUACGAGAAGAAGGACUGGCGCCACGCGCCGCGCUUCGUGACGCCCCUCAAGCCACACACGGUGCUCCGCGGCCAGGACUGCACCAUGACCUGCGCCUUCCUUGGGAACCCGCGGCCCACAGUGACCCUCUACAAGGGCGACGUCAACAUCACGGCCAACUCCAAGUUCUGGUACAACUCCACCAGCGGCGUGUGCACCCUCGUCAUCCCCACCUGCACGCUCAAGGACAGCGGCGAUUACAGCGUGCUAGUGGAGAACGAGCUGGGCAAGGACCGCAGCAGCUGCACGCUCACCGUCUAUGACAUGAGAGUUCUCAAUCCCUAGAUAAGAUGUGGUUUGCAACUCUUGGUGAGCCUAGACCUGCCUUCAAAAAAGAUACUGGUGAUCGGGACUCAACCAGACACACCAAUCACGAUCUCUCUGGCAGGGUUCUGGAAAUAACCUAUAUGUUUACAAAAUUUUGCGGGUGAUUCUGAUGUGCAAUCAAAAUUAAAACUGG